rnacentral:rRNA from 1 species
UACGUAGGAUGCAAGCGUUGUUCGGAAUUAUUGGGCGUAAAGCGCGUGUAGGCGGCUUUGCAAGUCGGGUGUGAAAUCCCUCAGCUCAACUGAGGAAGUGCGCCCGAAACUGCAGAGCUUGAGUACCGGAGAGGAUGGUGGAAUUCCCCAAGUAGAGGUGAAAUUCGUAGAUAUGGGGAGGAACACCGGUGGCGAAGGCGACCAUCUGGACGGAUACUGACGCUGAGACGCGAAGGCGUGGGGAGCAAACAGG